rnacentral:rRNA from 1 species
AGCGAACGCUGGCGGCAGGCCUAACACAUGCAAGUCGAACGAACCUUUCGGGGUUAGUGGCGGACGGGUGAGUAACACGUGGGAACGUGCCUUUAGGUUCGGAAUAACUCAGGGAAACUUGUGCUAAUACCGAAUGUGCCCUUCGGGGGAAAGAUUUAUCGCCUUUAGAGCGGCCCGCGUCUGAUUCGCUGGUUGGUUGAGGUAAUGGCUCACCAAGGCGACGAUGAGUAGCUGUGCUGAGCGGAGGAUCAGCCACAUUGGGACUGAGACACGGCCCAAACUCCUACGGGAGGCAGCAGUGGGGAAUCUUGCGGAAGGGGCGAAAGCCUGACGCAGCCAUGCCGGGUGAAUGAUGAAGGGCUUAGGAUUGUAAAAUUCUUUCACCGGGGACGAUAAUGACGGUACCCGGAGAAGAAGCCCCGGCUAACUUCGUG